CGAUUCGCAGCGGGCGCCGGAAGCGGUCUUGUGUCUGCAGCUCUGGCAGAGGACUGUUCCACUAGACACGUUGAAGGGACUGGGUACGUGUUUUCCUUCAGGACCAGAGCUGAGAGGAGCCGGGAUCGCGGCGGCAAUGGAACGGGCCUCAGAAAGGCGCACGGCCAGCGCGCUUUUUGCGGGGUUCCGGGCCUUGGGACUUUUCAGCAACGACAUUCCACACGUGGUGCGGUUCAGCGCGCUCAAGCGCCGGUUCUAUGUAACAACCUGCGUGGGCAAGAGUUUCCACACCUAUGACGUUCAGAAACUUAGUCUGGUUGCAGUAAGUAAUUCUGUUCCACAGGAUAUCUGCUGUAUGGCAGCUGAUGGCAGAUUAGUCUUUGCUGCUUAUGGAAAUGUUUUCUCUGCAUUUGCCCGUAAUAAAGAGAUAGUACAUACCUUUAAGGGUCAUAAGGCAGAAAUCCAUCUCUUGCAACCCUUUGGAGACCACAUUAUCUCUGUUGAUACUGACAGCAUUCUUAUUAUUUGGCACAUAUAUUCAGAAGAAGAAUACCUGCAGUUGACUUUUGAUAAAUCAGUAUUUAAAAUUUCUGCAAUUUUGCAUCCAAGUACCUACUUGAAUAAAAUACUUCUGGGCAGUGAACAAGGAAGCCUGCAGUUGUGGAAUGUAAAAUCCAAUAAACUUCUAUAUACAUUUCCAGGAUGGAAAGUUGGAGUGACAGCUCUUCAGCAGGCACCAGCCGUGGAUGUUGUUGCUAUUGGUCUUAUGUCAGGUCAAGUUAUCAUUCAUAACAUUAAAUUUAAUGAAACAUUAAUGAAGUUUCGUCAAGACUGGGGACCCAUUACUUCAAUUUCAUUUCGCACAGAUGGUCAUCCAGUAAUGGCAGCUGGAAGCCCAUGUGGCCAUAUUGGACUCUGGGAUCUAGAAGACAAAAAAUUAAUCAACCAAAUGAGAAGUGCACACUCUACAGCAAUUGCCGGACUGACAUUUCUCCAUAGAGAGCCACUUCUUGUCACAAAUGGCGCUGACAAUGCUCUUAGGAUAUGGAUAUUUGAUGGUCCUACAGGUGAAGGCCGACUUUUGAGAUUCAGAAUGGGUCAUAGUGCUCCUCUUACCAAUAUCAGAUAUUAUGGACAGAAUGGACAGCAGAUUCUAAGUGCAAGUCAAGAUGGAACUCUUCAGUCGUUUUCCACGGUACAUGAAAAAUUCAAUAAGAGCUUGGGACAUGGAUUAAUAAAUAAAAAGAGAGUUAAACGUAAAGGACUUCAGAAUACCACGUCAGUGAGACUUCCACCCAUCACAAAGUUUGCAGCAGAGGAAGCUCGUGAAAGUGACUGGGAUGGUAUCAUUGCUUGCCAUCAAGGUAAGCUAUCUUGCUCAACCUGGAAUUAUCAAAAAUCUACAAUAGGCGCUUACUUUCUCAAGCCAAAAGAGUUGAAGAAAGAUGACAUAACUGCAACAGCAGUGGAUAUAACUUCUUGUGGAAACUUUGCUGUAAUUGGCCUCUCAUCAGGAACUGUAGAUGUAUAUAACAUGCAGUCUGGCAUACAUCGAGGAAGUUUUGGCAAGGAUCAAGCUCACAAGGGAUCUGUUAGAGGUGUCGCAGUGGAUGGAUUAAACCAGUUGACAGUUACAACUGGUAGUGAAGGAUUACUCAAAUUCUGGAACUUUAAAAACAAAAUUUUAAUCCAUUCUGUGAGCCUCAAUUCAUCUCCAAAUAUCAUGUUGCUACAUAGGGACAGUGGCAUUCUGGGACUCGCCUUGGAUGACUUCUCCAUUAGUGUUCUGGACAUAGAAACUAGGAAGAUUGUCAGAGAGUUUUCUGGACACCAAGGCCAAAUAAAUGACAUGGUAAAACAAACUCUAACUAAUAAAACUUGACUCAUUUCUACAUUUGUUUGGGUGUGUUAUCCUUUAAUAGCCUUAAAAUCAUUAUAUGAGGUGGUUAUCAAUUUUAAUUUGCAGGCUAUUUUUCAAAGAUUUUAAAGGAAAAUUUUGAAUUAAAAGUUUAAUAUUUUUCAGGGAGUUGAUGCGAUCAAAUUAAAGUAUAAGUUUUAGAGCUCGUCUGUUUUUUCAUUAACUCUAAACAAGGCCAAAGUAUACUUUAGAGAAUGAAUGAUCCAUU
rnacentral:sRNA from 1 species